UCAGGAUAAACGCUGGCGGUGUGCAUUAUGCAUGCAAGUCGAGCGGUUAGAGCAAUCUAAGCAGCGGCAAACGGCUGAGUAACACGUAAGCAACCUGUCCCAAAGUGGGGAAUAAUCCACCGAAAGGUGGACUAAUACCGCAUGUGGUGGCGGAAUCAGUUUUCUGUCACUAAAGCUUUCGGGCGCCUAGGGAGGGGCUUGCGUCCUAUCAGGUAGUUGGUGAGGUAACGGCCCACCAAGCCUUUGACGGGUAGCUGGUCUAAGAGGAUAUCCAGCCAGACGGGGACUGAGACACGGCCCCGACUCCUACGGGAGGCAGCAGCAAGGAAUUUUGCGCAAUGGGCGAAAGCCCUGACGCAGCAACACCGCGUGAGGGAAGAAGGCCCUCGGGUUGUAAACCUCUUUUCUCAGGGAAGAAUAAUGACGGUACCUGAGGAAUAAGUCACGGCUAACUACGUGCCAGCCGCCGC
rnacentral:rRNA from 1 species